rnacentral:rRNA from 1 species
GGCGCAAAGAGAGGCCCAAGUGAGAUUAGCUAGUUGGUGAGGUAAAGGCUCACCAAGGCAACGAUCUCUAGCUGUUCUGAGAGGAAGAUCAGCCACACUGGGACUGAGACACGGCCCAGACUCCUACGGGAGGCAGCAGUGGGGAAUAUUGCACAAUGGGGGAAACCCUGAUGCAGCCAUGCCGCGUGUGUGAAGAAGGCCUUCGGGUUGUAAAGCACUUUCAGUUGUGAGGAAAAGUUAGUAGUUAAUACCUGCUAGCCGUGACGUUAACAACAGAAGAAGCACCGGCUAACUCCGUGCCAGCAGCCGCGGUAAUACGGAGGGUGCGAGCGUUAAUCGGAAUUACUGGGCGUAAAGCGCACGCAGGCGGUUUGUUAAGCUAGAUGUGAAAGCCCCGGGCUCAACCUGGGACGGUCAUUUAGAACUGGCAGACUAGAGUCUUGGAGAGGGGAGUGGAAUUCCAGGUGUAGCGGUGAAAUGCGUAGAUAUCUGGAGGAACAUCAGUGGCGAAGGCGACUCCCUGGCCAAAGACUGACGCUCAUGUGCGAAAGUGUGGGUAGCGAACAGGAUUAGAUACCCUGGUAGUCCACACCGUAAACGCUGUCUACUAGCUGUUUGUG